GGGGCUGUAGCUCAAUUGGUCAGAGCGCCGGCCUGUCACGCCGGAGGUUGCGGGUUCGAGCCCCGUCAGCCUCG
rnacentral:tRNA from 5 species